UACAGGGGGGGGCAAGCGUUGUUCGGAAUUACUGGGCGUAAAGGGUUCGUAGGUGGCCAACUAAGUCAGACGUGAAAUCCCUCAGCUUAACUGGGGAACUGCGUCUGAUACUGGAUGGCUUGAGUGCAGGAGAGGAAUGCGGAAUUCCAGGUGUAGCGGUGAAAUGCGUAGAUAUCUGGAGGAACACCGGUGGCGAAGGCGGCAUUCUGGACUGUAACUGACACUGAGGAACGAAAGCCAGGGGAGCAAACGGG
rnacentral:rRNA from 1 species